ACAGGACACUGCUGCCUUGCUCCCCCUGUGCCAGCUCCGGUGUUGAUCUCACCCCACAGUGGUCCAGUUUGCUUCACUAAAUCAUCGGAAAGCUCAUCUUCGGGGUUAUUUUUUCUACUAGUUUAUCAGGCUGAGUCAGGAGAUGGUGGAGGCAGGCUGCGUUGGCAAGUUUAAAAAGCAACUGCAGAAAUGCCUGGCCAGCUGGCCAUGGACAGGUACAAAAGGAAAAUGUGUGCUAAAAGGACCCGUGAACAUCUCCAGUCCUGGACAGUCUGCGAGUUUGAAGCACACGGACCGCCGAGAGUGGCCAGGCUCAUCUGCCCGCUCCAAAACAGCAUCUGCUGUAGUCUGCUGGAGAGAAAAUAUGAGUCAGAGGGAACGCUGGGCUAACCCAGUCCAACAUUUCUCGUGUUUUCAAACAAUACCAGAAUUGUUAAAUACAGGGGUUUGCAAGUUCUGUUUGUCUAAAUGCAACACGUUUACGCUUGUAUAUCAAGUGCUACGUGGAAGGUUUAGAAAUCAUAAUACAGAUAUAAAUAUACUGUCGUGUUGACAGGUCCAACAAGCAAAACCUAGAGGACUUGGGAAUAAACUGGUACACCCUCA